ACAGAAAACAAAAAAUAAAAAAUAAAAAAAAACAAAUCAUGUAAAACUAUCCUUAUCCCCUUUCACUCUUAUUUCCCAACUCUCUCUCUCUCUCUCAAAUCUCACAAAUCAUACUGGUAAUCUCUCAAAUUCUCUUCUCUCUCAAAAUCUCACAAAUCAUACUAGUAAUCUCUCAAAUUCUCCUCUCUCAAACUCAACUCUCCACUCUCUCUCUCGCUCAAAUCUCACUGUCCACUCUCCACUCUCUCUCGCUCGACUCUCUCUUUGAUAAAAAUAUGAAGAUUUUGAUCAAUUGUUGAUGAAGAUUUGAAGAUUUCAAUCUGCUGUUGAUGAAGAUUUGGAUUGAUUCAUAAUCGGUAUGCCUAAUUUCUAUGUGCAGAAGCAACGUUCUUCAGAAAGGACAUAUUGGCCCUUGAAAGAGG